GAAAUGCGAUAAGUAAUGUGAAUUGCAGAAUUCAGUGAAUCAUCGAAUCUUUGAACGCACAUUGCGCCCAUUAGUAUUCUAGUGGGCAUGCCUGUUCGAGCGUCAUUUCAACCCUCAAGCACUGCUUGGUGUUGGGGCGUCUGCAGCUCCGGCUGCAGGCCCUGAAAAACAGUGGCGGGCUCGCUAUAACUCCGAGCGUAGUAAUCUCUCUCGCUUUGGAAGUGUGGCGGUUCCCGGCCGUUAAACCCCCCAAUUUCUGAAUGUUGACCUCGGAUCAGGUAGGAAUACCCGCUGAACUUAA
rnacentral:misc_RNA from 1 species